rnacentral:rRNA from 1 species
CGGGGUGCACCAGGCGCGAAAACUUUACAAUGCUGGCAACAGCGAUAAGGGGACCUCGAGUGCCAGGAUACAAUCUUGGCUGUCGCGAUGCCUAAAAAGCAUUGCAUAGCAAGGGCCGGGCAAGACCGGUGCCAGCCGCCGCGGUAACACCGGCGGCUCGAGUGGUAACCGCUAUUAUUGGGUCUAAAGGGUCUGUAGCCGGCCGGAUAAGUCUUUUGGGAAAUCCAGCUGCUCAACAGUUGGGCUUUCAGAAGAUACUGUUCGGCUCGAGACCGGGAGAGGUGAGAGGUACUUCAGGGGUAGGGGUGAAAUCUUGUAAUCCUUGAAGGACCACCAGUGGCGAAGGCGUCUCGCCAGAACGGAUCUGACGGCAAGGGACGAAAGCUAGGGGCACGAACCGGAUUAGAUACCCGGGUAGUCCUAGCCGUAAACGAUACUCGCUAGGUGUCAGCCACGGUGCGACCGUGGUUGGUGCCGUAGGGAAGCCGUGAAGCGAGCCACCUGGGAAGUACGGCCGCAAGGCUGAAACUUAAAGGAAUUGGCGGGGGAGC